AGAAAAUUUUUUAAAAAAUUUCAUUAUAGCUUCUCUUAAAUUAUAUGAAAUAAUUAAAAAUUUUCAUUAUAGCUUCUCUUAAAUUAUAUGAAAUAAUUAUUUAUUCUGUUAGAACUUUAAAAGUUUUAUGAGAUCCGAAUUUAUGUUAUCAUGCUCUAAUUCUAUACUAGUAAAGUUAUCUGUGCGUUGCGGCGGGCUAAUACUAUAGAAGAAAAAAGAUUGAUAAAGUUAAAAUUUUUAAAUUUUUGACUUAUUAUAAGACAUCUAUAAAUAUAAAGCGGAUAUGUAUAAAUAUAACAAAAUUUACAGUAACAAAUAAAUUAUACAUAAUAAUAAUGAAAGAAACAGUAAUAAAGUUACUACUCUACACGCACCUUGAUCGUGCUGCCAAGAUCGGAGAGGCGAUUAACGUUCUCUGCGUCGCCUCCACCGCCAUUAUCGGCUUGAGCUUCUCUUUGGUUACGGUCAUAUCAAUUCUGUUUGGAUCCCCCCACACCCAUUGCUUCCUCUUUUCAUCGACUCUAAAUUCAUCGCACUUCACCUCGCUGCGUCGCCACGAUCCUCACAACCCUAAUUUCAAUUCGUGCACAAUUUUUAAAAAUAGAAAAAAAUAUUUAAAAUAGAUAAAAAAUUAACCCUUCUUGUGCAUUAAAAAAAAUAAAAAAAUAAUAAAAAAGAAUAUGAAGAGAUCUUAUCUUGUCUUACUUUUUUUUUUAGAACGAUUUGUUUAGAUGAAAAUAGAUCAUGUGAAUACAUAAAUUCGAAAGUAGGCGGGUGGAAAAACGAAGUAUCGGACAGAGAUAGGGGUGGAAAGGCAAAACAUCAAGAAGUGGAAAGGAGGUGAAAGAAAAAUUAUCACGUGGCACACUUCAUGAGAAAUAAUAUAUAGAUUACUUUAAUUUGUAUGGCUUUACCACUUUAGAAAGGAAAUUUUUUUUUUUUUUUUUUGAGAGAUAGGUAAUACGCUACCUGCUUUGUUUAUUUUAUUUAGAUAUAAAAUUAGCUGAAAAUAUGAAUCAAUAAGGAUUUGAACUUGGGACCUUAAAUAUUAAUCACCAAGUCCUUUGCCAAUUACUCUAGAGACAGCCAGUUAGAAAGAAAAAAAGUAAUUAGAAACUUUAUGCUUGG
rnacentral:lncRNA from 1 species